UACAGAGGUCUCAAGCGUUGUUCGGAUUCAUUGGGCGUAAAGGGUGCGUAGGUGGCGGGGUAAGUCAGGUGUGAAAUCUCGGAGCUCGACUCCGAAACUGCACUUGAUACUGCCUUGCUCGAGUACUGGAGAGGAGAUUGGAAUUUACGGUGUAGCAGUGAAAUGCGUAGAUAUCGGGAAGAACACCCGUGGCGAAGGCGGCUCUCUGGGACGGUACUGACGCUGAGACGCGAAAGCGUGGGGAGCGAACAGG
rnacentral:rRNA from 1 species